rnacentral:rRNA from 1 species
UACGUAGGGGGCAAGCGUUGUCCGGAAUUAUUGGGCGUAAAGAGCGCGUAGGCGGUCCGAUAAGUCGGCUGUGAAAGUCAGGGGCUCAACCCUUGGAAGCCGGCCGAUACUGUCGGACUAGAGUCCGGAAGAGGCGAGUGGAAUUCCCGGUGUAGCGGUGAAAUGCGCAGAUAUCGGGAGGAACACCAAUGGCGAAGGCAGCUCGCUAGGACGGUACUGACGCUGAGGCGCGAAAGCGUGGGGAGCAAACAGG